CCUACGGGAUGCAGCAGUGAGGAAUAUUGGUCAAUGGGCUUACGCCUGAACCAGCCAAGUCGCGUGAGGGAAGACUGCCCUAUGGGUUGUAAACCUCUUUUGUCAGGGAGCAACGCCGGCUACGUGUAGCCGGACUGAGAGUACCUGAAGACAAAGCCUCGGCUAACUCCGGGCCAGCAGCCGCGGUAAUACGGAGGAUGCGAGCGUAAUCCGAAUUUAUUGGGUGUAAAGGGUGCGUAGGCGGAAUGCCAAGUCAGCGGUAAAAUCGCGGGGCUCAACCUCGCUCCGCCGUUGAAACUGGCGUGCUUGAGUGGGCGAGAAGUAUGCGGAAUGCGUGGUGUAGCGGUGAAAUGCAUAGAUAUCACGCAGAACUCCGAUUGCGAAGGCAGCAUACCGGCGCCCAACUGACGCUGAAGCACGAAAGCGUGGGUAUCGAACAGGAUUAGAUACCCGAGUAGUC
rnacentral:rRNA from 1 species